ensembl:lncRNA
CCGGGCCUUCCUGCCAGAGGAGGAUGUAUAAUCAGGGAGGAUUUGGACAGGGAACAUGAGGAAGGAACGCAGAGGAGAGGAGCACCCAAGCAAAGGCUGGGAGAAAAUACAAAGAAGACAGAAACAGACACUGACAGGCAAUGGGGACAUGUCUCUGUUCUUCUGGAACUCCGGGUCCAGGGAAGGACAAGGCAGUCCUCAGCUCACUGUGUGACCUUGGACACCCCCUCACCCCCGCCAUUCUGGACCUUAGUUUCAUCUGUAAGAAGAGCUGGUGACUGUAUACCCUGGCAAUCUCCCUUGUGGCGCUCCUGCCAAGUCUGAGUGGGCCCAGCUGUGCUCGCCCAAAGGGUAUAGACAAAAGAAACCUUGGUGCAGCCCACUAGGAGAUUCUCAUUCCCUGUUCGGGCAAGCAUUCAGGCAGAGGUGGGGAUGGCUUAAAGCUGCGGUCCCCAACCUAUUUGGCACCAGGGACUGGU